rnacentral:tRNA from 2 species
GGUGUAGCGCAGUUGGUAGCGCGCUUGGUUCGGGACCAAGAGGUCGUGGGUUCAAAUCCCGUCACU